rnacentral:rRNA from 1 species
GCACUUUAAGCAGUGAAGAAGACUCCGUGGUUAAUACCCACGGACGAUGACAUUAGCUGCAGAAUAAGCACCGGCUAACUCUGUGCCAGCAGCCGCGGUAAUACAGAGGGUGCAAGCGUUAAUCGGAAUUACUGGGCGUAAAGGGAGCGUAGGUGGCUCUAUAAGUCAGAUGUGAAAUCCCCGGGCUCAACCUGGGAACUGCAUCUGAAACUGUAGAGCUAGAGUAUGUGAGAGGAAGGUAGAAUUCCAGGUGUAGCGGUGAAAUGCGUAGAGAUCUGGAGGAAUACCGAUGGCGAAGGCAGCCUUCUGGCAUAAUACUGACACUGAGGCUCGAAAGCGUGGGUAGCAAACAGGAUUAGAUACCCUGGUAGUCCACGCCGUAAACGAUGUCUACUAGUCGUUGG